AUUUUGGACAAUGGGUGAAACCCUGAUCAAGACAUCCCGCGUGUAUGAUGAAGGANUUNNGGUUGNANAGUACUUUUGGCAGANNNNNAAAGCUAUCACAUAAUACGGGAUACAGCUGACGGUAUCUGCAGAAUAAGCACCGGCUAACUACGUGCCAGCACCCGCGGUAAUACGUAGGGUGCAAGCGUUAAUCGGAAUUACUGGGCGUAAAGCGUGUGUAGGCGGUUCGGAAAGAAAGAUGUGAAAUCCCAGGGCUCAACCUUGGAACUGCAUUUUUAACUGCCGAGCUAGAGUAUGUCAGAGGGGGGUAGAAUUCCACGUGUAGCAGUGAAAUGCGUAGAUAUGUGGAGGAAUACCGAUGGCGAAGGCAGCCCCCUGGGAUAAUACUGACGCUCAGACACGAAAGCGUGGGGAGCAAACAGG
rnacentral:rRNA from 1 species